rnacentral:rRNA from 1 species
UAGCUUAAAGCGUWCCUAAAGAUUUUAAGUAAUCUCUGCCCGGKGAGUUACUACUUUAACGGCCGCAGUACCUUGACUGUGCAAAGGUAGCAUAAUAAUUUGUCCUUUAAUUUAGGUCUGGAAUGAAUGAGAACACAGGGGAGAGCUGUCUCUAGWARGGUUAACUUAACUUCCUUAUCAGGUGAAAAUUCCUGAGCUUCUUUGGAAAGACGAGAAGACCCUUAGAGUUUUAAUAAUUAUUUAGAUAAAUAAAAUUCUACUAUUGUUUUUGUUGGGGCGACAGGGUAACAAUAGGUAAACUUACCCAUUCAUAUAUUUUUAUGCGUCGAUAGUUAUACUAAUAAUUAAACUACCUAAGGGAUAACAGCGUAAUCUUUUUUUUUGGUUUGCGACCUCGAUGUUGGACUAGGGGCCUACUGGUUAGCAACCAUCAAUGGAGGGUUCUGUUCGAACUUAAUCCCCUAC